GACGAACGCUGGCGGCGUGCUUAACACAUGCAAGUCGAACGGAAAGGCCCUGCUUGCAGGGUGCUCGAGUGGCGAACGGGUGAGUAACACGUGGGUGAUCUGCCCCUUAUUUUGGGAUAAGCCUGGGAAACUGGGUCUAAUACUGGAUAGGACCAUGCUGUAGGUGGUGUGGUGGAAAGAUUAGUUUCGGUAAGGGAUGAGCUCGCGGCCUAUCAGCUUGUUGGUGGGGUAAUGGCCUACCAAGGCGUCGACGGGUAGCCGGCCUGAGAGGGUGGACGGCCACAUUGGGACUGAGAUACGGCCCAGACUCCUACGGGAGGCAGCAGUGGGGAAUAUUGCACAAUGGGCGCAAGCCUGAUGCAGCGACGCCGCGUGGGGGAUGACGGCCUUCGGGUUGUAAACUCCUUUCAGCCAUGACGAAGCCCUUGUGGUGACGGUAGUGGUAGAAGAAGCACCGGCUAACUACGUG
rnacentral:rRNA from 1 species